rnacentral:rRNA from 1 species
AGCCGCGGUUACACCAGGGACCCAAGUUGACAGACUCACGGCAUAAAGGGUGGUCAACAGAAUAUUAAACUAAAGCCAAACACCCCUAAGGCUGUCAUACGCAAUUUAGGGACAGGAAGAUCGUUCACGAAAGUAGCUUUAAACACUGCGAACCACGAAAGCCAGGGAA